GUGAGGAAUAUUGGACAAUGGGCGCAAGCCUGAUCCAGCCAUGCCGCGUGCAGGAUGACGGUCCUAUGGAUUGUAAACUGCUUUUGUACAGGAAGAAACAACUCUACGUGUAGAGUCUUGACGGUACUGUAAGAAUAAGGAUCGGCUAACUCCGUGCCAGCAGCCGCGGUAAUACGGAGGAUCCAAGCGUUAUCCGGAAUCAUUGGGUUUAAAGGGUCCGUAGGCGGUUUAGUAAGUCAGUGGUGAAAGCCCAUCGCUCAACGGUGGAACGGCCAUUGAUACUGCUAGACUUGAAUUAUUAGGAAGUAACUAGAAUAUGUAGUGUAGCGGUGAAAUGCUUAGAGAUUACAUGGAAUACCAAUUGCGAAGGCAGGUUACUACUAAUGGAUUGACGCUGAUGGACGAAAGCGUGGGUAGCGAACAGGAUUAGAAACCCGAGUAGUCC
rnacentral:rRNA from 1 species